GGGGGGGGGGGGGCUAUACAUGCAAGUCGAGCGAAUGGAUUAAGAGCUUGCUCUUAUGAAGUUAGCGGCGGACGGGUGAGUAACACGUGGGUAACCUGCCCAUAAGACUGGGAUAACUCCGGGAAACCGGGGCUAAUACCGGAUAACAUUUUGAACCGCAUGGUUCGAAAUUGAAAGGCGGCUUCGGCUGUCACUUAUGGAUGGACCCGCGUCGCAUUAGCUAGUUGGUGAGGUAACGGCUCACCAAGGCAACGAUGCGUAGCCGACCUGAGAGGGUGAUCGGCCACACUGGGACUGAGACACGGCCCAGACUCCUACGGGAGGCAGCAGUAGGGAAUCUUCCGCAAUGGACGAAAGUCUGACGGAGCAACGCCGCGUGAGUGAUGAAGGCUUUCGGGUCGUAAAACUCUGUUGUUAGGGAAGAACAAGUGCUAGUUGAAUAAGCUGGCACCUUGACGGUACCUAACCAGAAAGCCACGGCUAACUACGUGCCAGCAGCCGCGGUAAUACGUAGGUGGCAAGCGUUAUCCGGAAUUAUUGGGCGUAAAGCGCGCGCAGGUGGUUUCUUAAGUCUGAUGUGAAAGCCCACGGCUCAACCGUGGAGGGUCAUUGGAAACUGGGAGACUUGAGUGCAGAAGAGGAAAGUGGAAUUCCAUGUGUAGCGGUGAAAUGCGUAGAGAUAUGGAGGAACACCAGUGGCGAAGGCGACUUUCUGGUCUGUAACUGACACUGAGGCGCGAAAGCGUGGGGAGCAAACAGGAUUAGAUCUUGGUUGUGUCUCCAAACAAACCCUGAAU
rnacentral:rRNA from 1 species